rnacentral:tRNA from 1 species
GCUUCCCUAGCUCAAUUGGUAGAGCAGUAGACUCUUAAUCUAUUUGUUCCGGGUUCGAUUCCCGGGGGGGGUACCA